rnacentral:rRNA from 1 species
GAUUAUGGCUCAGGACGAACGCUGGCGGCGUGCUUAACACAUGCAAGUCGAGCGAUGAAGCUCUUCGGAAGUGGAUUAGCGGCGGACGGGUGAGUAACACGUGGGUAACCUGCCUCAUAGAGGGGAAUAGCCUUCCGAAAGGAAGAUUAAUACCGCAUAAGAUUGUAAUAUCGCAUGAUAUAGCAAUUAAAGGAGCAAUCCGCUAUGAGAUGGACCCGCGUCGCAUUAGCUAGUUGGUGAGGUAACGGCUCACCAAGGCGACGAUGCGUAGCCGACCUGAGAGGGUGAUCGGCCACAUUGGGACUGAGACACGGCCCAGACUCCUACGGGAGGCAGCAGUGGGGAAUAUUGCACAAUGGGGGAAACCCUGAUGCAAGCAACGCCGCGUGAGUGAUGACGGUCUUCGGAUUGUAAAGCUCUGUCUUCAGGGACGAUAAUGACGGUACCUGAGGAGGAAGCCACGGCUAACUACGUGCCAGCCGCCGC